GACCAAACUGUAACACCGAGCAAAGCAAUUAAGUAAUAAUACAGAAUAAAAUAUAAACUUUUCUCCAUUAUAAACAGAUCCUGCAUGGAAGCACUUGUAAUAGGAAGAAAAAAACUUUCACAGCAGAAGAAACUCCAACCUUGACUAUCUGAAUUUAAAAGAUUUAGAAGGAGAUAGAUUGAUCUAGACAUUGUUUCCUGCAAGAUGAUGAUGAUGGAGCACUAAAGGUUUUAUUACCAUUUUGAAAAGCCCCCCUUUUUGCUGGAAGACUGUCUACCACUGGGCAACAUCAACUGGGGUGGAACAAAUUGGGCCUUCCAGUACAAACCAAUAUGUGCUCAUCUGCACUGGAUAAAUGGCAGUUCUAUCUAGUAUGUCAUUCUGAAAAUAAGCCCAGGACAACUGAUUUCAAGUGUUGAUCUGAAAUGAACUGCUUGGAUCCACUCAACGCUCCAUUUGUGGUUCUAAAAAUCAGACAACUCAUUUUAUCCAGGUGCUGUCCCUCAGGCAAGGAGUUCAGAACCAGCUGAACCCUUCUGUGAUCCCAUGCUUCCAGCACACCUGCAGGAGACAGACCAGGCAGCAAGGAGCUCACAGUGCAGGGAAGACUCAGUGGCUGAGAGAAGAAUCAUUUCUGCCUCAAUACACCAAUGGCUUAUGAGGACUGCAGCCUUCAGUGCCCAUGGACAUCUCCAGGAAAUAUAAGAUCCUUCUGCAGAAAAGCAGCUCCUAGCACAGUGACAUAUCAAUUUCUUGUAAAACUUGGAUUAUUAGGGUCAUGCCAAUAAUAAAUAGCCAUGCAUGUGCUGCA